rnacentral:rRNA from 1 species
CAGUAGCCACGGUAAUACGUAGGGCGCAAGCGUUAUCCGGAAUUAUUGGGCGUAAAGAGCUCGUAGGCGGUUUGUCGCGUCUGCUGUGAAAACUGGAGGCUCAACCUCCAGCCUGCAGUGGGUACGGGCAGACUAGAGUGCGGUAGGGGAGAUUGGAAUUCCUGGUGUAGCGGUGGAAUGCGCAGAUAUCAGGAGGAACACCGAUGGCGAAGGCAGAUCUCUGGGCCGUAACUGACGCUGAGGAGCGAAAGCAUGGGGAGCGAACAGGAUUAGAUACCCCCGUAGUCCCUGUCUCUUAUAC